rnacentral:rRNA from 1 species
CUUACACAUGCAGUCGAACGGAAAGGCCCUGCUUUUGUGGGGUGCUCGAGUGGCGAACGGGUGAGUAACACGUGAGUAACCUGCCCUUGACUUUGGGAUAACUUCAGGAAACUGGGGCUAAUACCGGAUAGGAGCUCCUGCUGCAUGGUGGGGGUUGGAAAGUUUCGGCGGUUGGGGAUGGACUCGCGGCUUAUCAGCUUGUUGGUGGGGUAGUGGCUUACCAAGGCUUUGACGGGUAGCCGGCCUGAGAGGGUGACCGGCCACAUUGGGACUGAGAUACGGCCCAGACUCCUACGGGGGGCAGCAGUGGGGAAUAUUGCACAAUGGGCGGAAGCCUGAUGCAGCAACGCCGCGUGCGGGAUGACGGCCUUCGGAGUUGUAAACCGCUUUCGCCUGUGACGGAAUGCGUGAGUGACGGUAAUGGGUAAA